UACGUAGGGGGCAAGCGUUGUCCGGAUUUAUUGGGCGUAAAGAGCGUGUAGGCGGCCUGGAGGGUCAGCUGUGAAAACUCGAGGCUCAACCUCGAGACGUCGGUUGAAACCACCUGGCUAGAGUCCGGAAGAGGAGAGUGGAAUUCCCGGUGUAGCGGUGAAAUGCGCAGAUAUCGGGAAGAACACCCGUGGCGAAGGCGCUCUGCUAGGCCGUAACUGACACUGAGGGACGAAAGCUAGGGGAGCGAAUGGG
rnacentral:rRNA from 1 species